rnacentral:rRNA from 1 species
GACUAACGCUGGCGGCGUGCCUCAUACAUGCAAGUCGAACGGGCUACGGGGAGCAAUCCUCGUAGCUAGUGGCGCACGGGUGAGUAACACGUAGGUAACCUGCCCCAGAGAUUGGGAUAACGGAUCGAAAGGUCCGCUAAUACUAGGUACGCCUGCGAGAGCUGCGAGGCUCUUGCAGGGAAAUGAUGGCCUCUGCUUGCAAGCCAUCGCUCCGGGAGGGGCCUGCGUCCUAUCAGCUAGUUGGCGGGGUAACGGCCCACCAAGGCGAUGACGGGUAGCCGGCUUGAGAGAGCGGUCGGCCACACUGGAACUGAGACACGGUCCAGACUCCUACGGGAGGAAGCAGUAGGGAAUUUUGGACAAUGGGGGCAACCCUGAUCCAGCCAUGCCGCGUGAGUGAAGAAGGCCUUCGGGUUGUAAAGCUCUUUCGGCCGGGGAGAAAUCGCGCAGGCUAAUAUCCUGUGUGGAUGACGGUACCGGAAUAAGAAGCACCGGCUAACUACGUGCCAGCAGCCGCAGUAAUAC